CAAACAGUUGAGGGAUAAGGAAAAGCUUAUCCCCACAAUGGUUACGUGCUGGCUCCCAGCCCUGCUCCCCGCCCUGCUCCCGGGGAGCUGGCUGCUGCCCCCCACUACAGGCUCCCCAGAAGUGGGGCCGGGAGCCUCAGAGCCUGCUGUGUGUAAUUUCUAAGUUUUUUAGCGGUUACACAGUUACCUACUUGUUAACAUCUCUAGCUGUCAUCCCAGGGGCUAGGUGGGGGAAGGGCUGGUUUCUGUCAGCAGGCAGCAGCAGCAGACUCGUCCCAGAGGCUGUGCGGGGUAGGCUGGGAGCUGUUCUCAGCCACGGGGUGAGAUACAUACAGAGUGUUUGUCCCACAGCUUCCACCCUGUAUGGGCUGACUGGCAUCCACCUGCAGGGCCUAGCCGAGGCCCUAGAUACCAUCUCACGCAUCCUGAAUGACAGCAAGGCGAUGACAACCAAACCCCCCUGGGCUGUGGCCGAGAGCCCCGAGGUGGCCAUGUCCCGACAAAAACAUCUCUCCUGAAGCCCAAGUGCCUGGUGAGCAGCUGGCCGUGGCCCACCGCCCAGGAGCCCGCUGGACGUUCAGCAGCAGCGUGGGCUGUGCCAGGCAGAAGGCGACGAACUGCCACUCGCUUCAGCCCAAAGCCGCUGGCAUCGAGCUCCACGCGUGCGACAGCGCCUGCAGCAGGGAGGCCUUGGACAGGACCUAUGGGGCGCAGGGCCAGCUGUCUCGGGGUGCUGGGAGCCAGAUCCAGCAGGGCUUGUGCUGAGCCCUGGCAGCUGGUGUCUCCUCACUGGACUUUCCAGGGAGCCUUUCCUACUCCACUAGCUUUUUGAUACAACGUCCCCAGAGCCUCUGUUCCCCUUCACUUCUCAGGUUGGUCUCAAUAGAGCAGAGUGCAGAGCCCUGGGCCCUGUGGAGGCAGAGCGCAGGUAGAGAUGGCCGUGGCUGUGGCUCUGGAACAGACAGACAGUUUUGCUCUGCCCCACUGGCCCAGCAGCAGCCUGUGUUCUCAGAGGGAUUGCUGGGGACUGAGCUGUCAUUUUCCUCUGAUCGAAGCCAUUGCUAUGCUGGGCAGAGAUGCUCAGGGUGAAUCCCGGGCCAAUGGGAUGCUGCCAACACACAGCAGCCUGAUGUUCAUUCCGAGGGAUCCAUCAGCCUGGGAGCUUAGAAGGAGGCAGCAGGCACCCCAGGCUCUGUGUCAGAACCCUCAGGGCAGCCCCUACAGGUCUUCAUGCUUCUCUGGCCAAAGGAGCCCAUCCCAUUCCCGCCUCUAGCCACCCCUGCUGGGCAGGGCUCAGAAUGCUGCAGGUUCAGAACAGGGGUUUGGGCUGAAGGGCUGUGCUUCUCUCCUCAGGAAUGCAGACCCUUAAGUCCUUUGAACCCUCUUUGCUGGAGCUUCAGGUACUUGGCAGCUCCCUACCCUUCCUUGUGUGAGCGCCUCGCCAGCAAUUGCCUUGAGACUCUGUUAGUUUAAACUUUGCUGGCACCCCAAACUCCCAGAGCCUUGUCUCUGUUGGGUCCAGUCCCUCUGGCUGGCCAUUUACAGGUGCCCCCUCCAUAGAGGCAGAUCCUGUUAACUCUGCCCUCGAAUGUGAAGCAAUGAGAUGGUUUUGUACCAACACAGAGUUGGAUAAUGAAGAGCUCAAGUGGAAGUUACGCGUGGCAGGAGUAAGAGAGGAAAGGGUUACAAACACAAUAAAAGAAUCUGCUUUCUAGGACCUGAAACUUAA